GCCCUCUGAAAGCUCAGAUGUCACGAG
rnacentral:sRNA from 1 species